rnacentral:rRNA from 1 species
UGGGGAAUAUUGCACAAUGGGCGCAAGCCUGAUGCAGCCAUGCCGCGUGUAUGAAGAAGGCCUUCGGGUUGUAAAGUACUUUCAGCGGGGAGGAAGGGAGUAAAGUUAAUACCUUUGCUCAUUGACGUUACCCGCAGAAGAAGCACCGGCUAACUCCGUGCCAGCAGCCGCGGGAAUACGGAGGGUGCAAGCGUUAAUUGGAAUUACGGGGCGUAACGCGCACGCAGGCGGUUUGUUAAGUCAGUGGUGUAAUCCCCGGGCUGAACCUGGGAAGGGCAUCUGAUACUGGCGAGCUUGAGUCUCGUAGAGGGGGGUAGAAUUCCAGGUGUAGCGGUGAAAUGCGUAGAGAACUGGAGGAAUACCGGUGGCGAAGGCGGCCCCCUGAACGAAAACAGACGCUCAGGUGCGAAAGCGUGGGGAGCAACCAGG